GCCCGGCCCCCGCGGCUCCCGGCGGCCGCACACGGGGAGCGCUCGGCCAGGAGCUGCAGAACCCUGGACAGGGGCACGGGGGUGUCACGGCAGCGGCCCGGGCCGGAGACAGCCAGGGCUGGACGCCGGGGGCUCAGGCAGGGACACGGGGAGGCAGGACAGGCGGUAACUGGGACGGGCGAACGGCUUAUGCUUCUCCUUGGACUUACUGCUCAAUGCCUUACUAGUUCAGUACAUCAGUAUGAAGCAAGAAAGCACAAGUCAUAAGGCUGACUGCUUAGCUUACAAGAAGCCCUAUCACUAUUUGGAGAAAAAAGAAAACUUGGAGCAUUAUCAGUAAAACAGAGAUUCUACCUGUAUCUUUAAUGCAAUAUUUGCUCUGCAGACCUGCAAAAGCUUACUUUAAAAGAUAACUGUGACCUUUCAUGAACCCAAUCUCAUUUUAGCAGGAGAGUUUCAUGCUUCUCUGUGAGAGCGAGAUGUAUCUAUUAAAUUCCUUUCAAAGAC